rnacentral:rRNA from 1 species
GAUGAACGCUGGCGGCGUGCCUAAUACAUGCAAGCCGAGCGAACAGACGAGGAGCUUGCUCCUCUGACGUUAGCGGCGGACGGGUGAGUAACACGUGGAUAACCUACCUAUAAGACUGGGAUAACUUCGGGAAACCGGAGCUAAUACCGGAUAAUAUAUUGAACCGCAUGGUUCAAUAGUGAAAGACGGUUUUGCUGUCACUUAUAGAUGGAUCCGCGCCGCAUUAGCUAGUUGGUAAGGUAACGGCUUACCAAGGCAACGAUGCGUAGCCGACCUGAGAGGGUGAUCGGCCACACUGGAACUGAGACACGGUCCAGACUCCUACGGGAGGCAGCAGUAGGGAAUCUUCCGCAAUGGGCGAAAGCUUGACGGAGCAACGCCGCGUGAGUGAUGAAGGUCUUCGGAUCGUAAAACUCUGUUAUUAGGGAAGAACAAAUGUGUAAGUAACUAUGCACGUCUUGACGGUACCUAAUCAGAAAGCCACGGCUAACUACGU